GACGAACGCUGGCGGCGUGCCUAAUACAUGCAAGUCGUGCGAGGCUCUUCGGAGUCGAGCGGCGGACGGGUGAGUAACACGUGGGCAACCUGCCCGACAGAUCGGGAUAACGCUUGGAAACGAGUGCUAAUACCGGAUACGCUUUUGAGGCGCAUGCCUCGAAAGGGAAAGCUGCUUUUGCAGCACUGUCGGAUGGGCCCGCGGCGCAUUAGCUAGUUGGUGAGGUAACGGCUCACCAAGGCGACGAUGCGUAGCCGACCUGAGAGGGUGACCGGCCACACUGGGACUGAGACACGGCCCAGACUCCUACGGGAGGCAGCAGUAGGGAAUCUUCCGCAAUGGGCGCAAGCCUGACGGAGCAACGCCGCGUGAGUGAUGAAGGCCUUCGGGUUGUAAAACUCUGUCUUCUGUGAAGAACAAGCCUAUGAACAAAACGCUUAGGCCCUGACGGUAACAGAGGAGGAAGCCCCGGCUAACUACGUGCCAGCCGCCGCCGUAAAAC
rnacentral:rRNA from 1 species